rnacentral:misc_RNA from 1 species
AAAUUUUUGAGUUCAUUGAAUGCUACCUGACAGUCUUCUCCCCAUUUGAAGCUCUUUCUUGCUUUGAGUGCUUUGUAGAAUGGUAGACAUUUCGUUGCUGAGCACGAUAUAAAACGCCUAAGACUGGUGAUUCUUCAAUUCAAUCUUUGAAUUUUUUUGAUACUUCUCGGUGGCUUCAUCUCCAUAAUGGCUUUGAUUUUUUCAGGGUUGGUCUCUAUUCCUUUUUUUGAGAUUAAAAAUUCCAAGAAUUUUUCUGCUUUGACUCCGAACGUGCAUUUUUUGGGUUCGGCUUCAUUCCGACUUUA